GAAAUCGAGAUGGACCUCUGCGUAGUGGGGACUGAGAGAAAUCUGCGAGAUUAUCAACCUGUCCAACAGGAGAAGCCACGGAUUGUGUUAAACCUGCAGAUAUUCCAUUUGAUGAUCCAGAAGGAUGGUAAGCAGAGCUUGAUAGAAUUUCAAGAGAAUGAGUAUUAGCUGAAGCAACAUUCGGUUCCCCACCUGGUUGAUUGCUUGAAGAAGUGUUCAAGUCAGGAAAAGUAUCAGAACCAGCACGCUGCGGCUGUUGCAAAGUCCCAACACCGGGAUUCAUAUUACCAGAAACCGCUGAGCGACUUUGAGAAAAUGAAGAAGGGCUGCGAUCUAAUACAGGACGAUUGAUAUGAUUAAAAGGGCUCCCCAGUUUGGGAGAAGCUGUGCCCGUUGUUAUAGAAUUCGA